AAACUGGAGAGUUUGAUCCUGGCUCAGAACGAACGCUUGCGGCGUGCCUAACACAUGCAAGUCGUACGAGAAAACCCCCUUCGGGGGGUGAGUAAAGUGGCGCACGGGUGAGUAACACGUAGGUAACGUACCCUUUGGCUUGGGAUAACAUCUGGAAACGGAUGCUAAUACCAGAUAAGACCACACGCACUUCGGUGUGUGGGGUAAAAGGUGGCCUCUCAGAGAAGCUGCCACCGGAGGAUCGGCCUGCGGACCAUUAGUUUGUUGGUGGGGUAAUGGCCUACCAAGGCUACGAUGGUUAGCUGGUCUGAGAGGAUGAUCAGCCACACUGGAACUGAAACACGGUCCAGACUCCCACGGGAGGCAGCAGUGGGGAAUAUUGCGCAAUGGGGGAAACCCUGACGCAGCAACGCCGCGUGGGUGAGGAAGGCCUUCGGGUUGUAAAGCCCUGUCAGGAGGGAAGAAUAAGUCGGUGAUUAAUACUCAUUGGCUCUGACGGUACCUCCAGAGGAAGCGCCGGCUAACUCCGUGCCAGCAGCCGCGGUAAUACGGAGGGCGCGAGCGUUGUUCGGAAUUAUUGGGCGUAAAGAGUGUGUAGGUGGCUUGGCAAGUUGGAUGUGAAAGCCCUUGGCUCAACCAAGGAAUUGCAUUCAAAACUGCUUGGCUUGAGUGCGGGAGAGGGAAGCAGAACUCCUAGUGUAGAGGUGAAAUUCGUAGAUAUUAGGAGGAAUACCCGUGGCGAAGGCGGCUUCCUGGACCGACACUGACGCUGAGACACGAAAGCGUGGGGAGCAAACAGGAUUAGAUACCCUGGUAGUCCACGCCGUAAACGAUGGGCACUAGGUGUUGGAGGUGUUGACCCCUCCAGUGCCGACGCUAACGCAUUAAGUGCCCCGCCUGGGAAGUACGGUCGCAAGAUUAAAACUCAAAGGAAUUGACGGGGGCCCGCACAAGCGGUGGAGCAUGUGGUUUAAUACGACGCAACGCGUAGAACCUUACC
rnacentral:rRNA from 1 species